rnacentral:rRNA from 1 species
CAGUCGCCACGGGAACACGAAGGGUGCAAGCGUUACUCGGAAUUACUGGGCGUAAAGCGUGCGUAGGUGGUGGUUUAAGUCCGUUGUGAAAGCCCUGGGCUCAACCUGGGAAUUGCAGUGGAUACUGGGUCACUAGAGUGUGGUAGAGGAUAGUGGAAUUUCCGGUGUAGCGGUGAAAUGCGUAGAUAUAGGAAGGAACACCAGUGGCGAAGGCGACUACCUGGACUGAUACUGACACUGAGGUGCGAAAGCGUGGGGAGCAAACAGGAUUAGAGACCCGCGUAGUCCCUGUCUCUUAUAA